rnacentral:rRNA from 1 species
AUUGAACGCUGGCGGCAGGCCUAACACAUGCAAGUCGAACGAGUGGCGGACGGGUGAGUAAUGUCUGGGAAACUGCCCGAUGGAGGGGGAUAACUACUGGAAACGGUAGCUAAUACCGCAUACCAUCGGAUGUGCCCAGAUGGGAUUAGCUAGUAGGUGGGGUAACGGCUCACCUAGGCGACGAUCCCUAGCUGGUAUGUGAGGAUGACCAGCCAAACUUGAACUGGGACACGGUCCAGACUCCUACGGGAGGCAGCAGUGGGGAAUAUUGCACAAAGGGCGGAAGCCUGAUGCAGCCAUGCCGCGUGUAUGAAGAAGGCCGUAGGGUUGUAAAGUACUUUCAGCGGGGAGGCGUUACCCGCAGAAGAAGCACCGGCUAACGCCGUGCCAGCAGGCGCGGUAAUAC